CCCCUUUCAGGAUCGCAACUGGAGAGUUUCCAGUACUCUACCAGUCUUGGCUAUGGGAGGGAGAAUCAAGCAGAGUAUGCCUCUACCCACUCCAUUCCUAGCUUAGACAGUGGCUAGUGAGUGGAAGGCAAUAUGCUACAAGU